GAGUUUGAUCCUGGCUCAGGAUGAACGCUGGCGGCGUGCUUAACACAUGCAAGUCGAACGAACCUUCGGGUUAGUGGCGGACGGGUGAGUAACGCGUGGGAAUCUGCCCUCAGGAGGGGGAUAACGGCUGGAAACGGCCGCUAAUACCCCAUAUGCCGAGAGGUGAAAUGAAUUUCGCCUGAGGAUGAGCCCGCGUCUGAUUAGCUAGUUGGUGAGGUAAGAGCUCACCAAGGCAUCGAUCAGUAGCUGGUCUGAGAGGAUGAUCAGCCACACUGGGACUGAGACACGGCCCAGACUCCUACGGGAGGCAGCAGUGGGGAAUUUUCCGCAAUGGGCGAAAGCCUGACGGAGCAACGCCGCGUGAGGGAUGAAGGCCUCUGGGCUGUAAACCUCUUUUCUCAAGGAAGAAGAUCUGACGGUACUUGAGGAAUAAGCCACGGCUAAUUCCGUGCCAGCAGCCGCGGUAAUACGGGAGUGGCAAGCGUUAUCCGGAAUUAUUGGGCGUAAAGCGUCCGCAGGCGGCCCUUCAAGUCUGCUGUUAAAAAGUGGAGCUUAACUCCAUCAUGGCAGUGGAAACUGUUGGGCUUGAGUGUGGUAGGGGCAGAGGGAAUUCCCGGUGUAGCGGUGAAAUGCGUAGAUAUCGGGAAGAACACCAGUGGCGAAGGCGCUCUGCUGGGCCAUAACUGACGCUCAUGGACGAAAGCCAGGGGAGCGAAAGGGAUUAGAUACCCCUGUAGUCCUGGCCGUAAACGAUGAACACUAGGUGUCGGGGGAAUCGACCCCCUCGGUGUCGUAGCCAACGCGUUAAGUGUUCCGCCUGGGGAGUACGCACGCAAGUGUGAAACUCAAAGGAAUUGACGGGGGCCCGCACAAGCGGUGGAGUAUGUGGUUUAAUUCGAUGCAACGCGAAGAACCUUACCAGGGUUUGACAUCCUGCGAACCUCUUGGAAACGAGAGGGUGCCUUCGGGAACGCAGUGACAGGUGGUGCAUGGCUGUCGUCAGCUCGUGUCGUGAGAUGUUGGGUUAAGUCCCGCAACGAGCGCAACCCACGUCUUUAGUUGCCAGCAUUCAGUUGGGCACUCUAGAGAGACCGCCGGUGAUAAACCGGAGGAAGGUGUGGAUGACGUCAAGUCAUCAUGCCCCUUACAUCCUGGGCUACACACGUACUACAAUGCUACGGACAAAGGGCAGCAAGUUCGCGAGGACAAGCAAAUCCCAUAAACCGUGGCUCAGUUCAGAUCGUAGGCUGCAACUCGCCUACGUGAAGGAGGAAUCGCUAGUAAUCGCAGGUCAGCAUACUGCGGUGAAUACGUUCCCGGGCCUUGUACACACCGCCCGUCACACCAUGGAAGUUGGCCACGCCCGAAGCCGUUACUCCAACCCUCGGGAGGAGGACGUCGAAGGUGGGGCUGAUGACUGGGGUGAAGUCGUAACAAGGUAACCGUA
rnacentral:rRNA from 1 species